AUUAAGAUCUUCUAGAGUGUGGUUUUCCCAGGGCGAGGCUUAUCCAUUGCACUCUGGAUAUGCUGACCCCUGCGAUUUCCCCAAAUGCAGGAAACUGGACUGCAUAAUUUGUGGUAGUAGGGUACUGUGUUCGCAUUUUCCCUGG
rnacentral:snRNA from 1 species